ensembl:lincRNA
AAGCUCGCCGAGGGGUCGCGGGUGCCGCUGAAGGCCUCUGGGUCUCUCUGAAACACCUUCACCUACACGAGCUUUAAUUUCCCUGAACUCAGCGACUGCUGGAGUGAAGCCUGGGCUAGAGAUUUCUGACCUCACCCCCCGCCGAUCCCACCAAUCCCGUCCUGGCCAGUCAAAGCGGGUGUGGACGUGCCCGGGCACCUUCCAGGGCCAGAACCGGCUGCUCCAGAGGCUGAACGGGCACCAGCAGGCCCUGGGCCUUGUGCUUCCCAGCCUCACCUCCUGUGUUGUGACAGCGGUCCACAAGGAAGCGUUUUUAUCUCUGUGUUUAAGGAAAUGGCAACUGACUCCAGUACUCUUGCCUGGAAAAUUCCAUGGAUGGCGGAGCCUGGCAGGCCACAGUCCACAGGAUCGCAAACAGCCGGACACGACUGAGCCACUUCACUUUAAGGGAGAGAGAGAUUCACCAGGCCGGGGAAUCUGGUCCUUCCCGCGGCUGAGGGCAAAUUCUCAGCCUGAAGGCAAGAGAAAGCUGACAGACGAGUCUUUUUCUACCCAUAGCUGCAAUUCGACAUUAGUAACACGAGCGAUCGGCAAUCAGCCUGCCGUGUGUGGCGCCAUGAUAGAAAAUGGGAUGAAGCUGAGGCCAGAGCACCACUGCGUUCAGAGCGAGCUGGGCUGUGCUCGAAGGCAUCUCGUCACAGAAGCUUAUUGUGCAGCUUACUGUUUGGGGAAAAGAAACCUCUGCAGGGCCACUAAUCAAUGGCCUGAGGUCCCCGAGCCCUGCUUCCGUGGCUUUGAAAGGAAUCGAUGCCCCUGGGACGGAGAUGCUGAAUCUAAAAGGAACAAGUUUCAGUAGGAACAAUAGACAUUUUUGAGUCUGUUCCAGAAAGAUCAUCUGGACGGUUUUGGUACACACCCGGAAAAUGACAGGAAAGACUCGGUCUUCUGAAGGUGUGGAACCAAAUGAAACUCAUAAAAUGAAACACUCGUGAGGUUUGUUUUCUGUUUACCCACUCCAGCCACCCUGCCCUGUGCCCGUAGAUGCCCUCUGAUCCCAGUCAGGGUUCUGCCAAAGGGGCAGGGACAGCAGGGGAUGUGAGAUGGGGGCACCAGGGUGCUGCUCCCCAGCACCUUCCUCCAGCCUGAGCUCGAGCAGGGCAGCCUCACUGUCAGAGCCCCUGAGCCUCAUUUUCUCUGCAGCUCGCCUUUCCCCAGCAUCUCUUCUCUGCCCUUCCUUGGACCCUUCAGCUAACUGGGGGCUGUCUGCAUCCCACACACCUGCCCCAUGGCCUCUCAGGCAUCCCUGAUGAUACUCCUGUUAAUUUCAGUGGCAGCGUGACCUUGUGGAUCUUUGCAGAAGCCUAACUGUUGGGAAAGCACCUGCCAGCCACCCUGGUCCACGACACGCCCUUGUCACAUCCGCCCUCUGGGCAGCAGCUUUCUGUUUCUGCUCUAGAAUCCACACACCCCGCCCGCUCAGGGCCAUGUCUGACAUCGCUGAGUUAUGAAGACUUCAGAGGGAGAAGGGGGUGGUCCAAGUCCCCGGGAGCCAUGGGCGGGAGACUAAAGACUCCAGGUGGGGCUCGCAGCCAGGGAAGGGCAGCUUUGUGCCAGAGCUAAUGGGAUUAAUUGUUAUUUCUCAAAGAUUUCAAAGCAGAAGCAACUCUCCCCCAAAUUAAGGGUAUAAACGCUGGACGUUCCUAAAGACUCAGGUCUCAGGCACUCAGCACAUUCUCUGAAUCCUACUCGUGUGGCUGGCGCUGUUCUGGGGUCUGGAUCACAGUGGGCAAAGCCUUCUCAGCCCACGGGAAGACUGCAUCCUCUGGGGCAUUGGUAUAAUAGCUGGGCACCAGAGAGCGCCCUGCAGCUGGACCCAAGGGGGACGCCCCCUGAGCGCAAAGGCAGGGGUCACCAUCAGCCCAGCUCUGGGCCCCUGUCUCCGGGGGCUGCUCAUGAGUGCAGGCUUAGAGGCCCUCUGAGAGGUUUGGAUCCCGCCCAGCAGGUCUGGGAAGCUACAUCUCACCAUCAGCUGAGUCACUGCCGUGGUCUAGAAGCUCGUUUAGACAGAAGCCGCUUUUCUGUAUCUGACUGUGCCUUGACCCCGGGAAUGCAGGCCCCUGGAGGAGGCUGGGCUGGUCUCAUGCUUGCCUUCUGCCCUGCAGAGCUUUGGCCAAGGGUCCCAGGAUGUCGGGCUUCUGACUGUCCUAGUGGAUUGGUGGGCUGAGGACCACUCCAGGCACAGACCCUACCAUCUGGGGGUGACGCCAGCCUCACCCUGGCUACUCAGCCCCCAUCUCUGAGGAUCAGCCGUCACUCUCAGACUCCCCCUCCUCCGGUGGGUCUGAUGCCUUAACAAGGUCAGCUGCUCCCUGACGGCUCUACCCUGCCUGGUCCUGUGGCCUGGAUACCGUCCCAGGGCCACUCCAAUGCCUUCCCAUCACCUCCUUCCCUGGAGAAGUCUCUCCCCAAAAGAAGGCGAGUCCCUGCUCGGCGCGGGGCCUGAGCCCUGGGGAGUGCGUGUUGUGUCCGAGACACGCCCCACGGAGGCGGCACGGGAGGCCUGCUGGCUGUCAAGGCUGCUCAUGGCCCAGCCCCUCCGCCUCCCUGCACCCGCUGAGUCCCUGCUUCCUCCCCAAGUGGACUCCUCACCAGCCCUGGGUGUCCCUUCACAUUUCCCCCGGGCUCUGACCUGACAUGCCCAGGGUGCACCUGGG